UGAAAAUGUUCCGUCGUUUGAGGUAUAGGCAAAUGCAGGCUUUUAUAUCGCAGAGGAGAUUGGCAGCGGGUUAAAAUGUGACAACUGUUAUUCUCUGUCGCGAUGCAGAGGAAACUGCUUUUGCGAUGAUCCACCAAUACUUGGAUACGCACCAUAAGAUACAUUUACACUGUUAUACAUGAUCCGUCAGCAUAAUGAAUAGGUUUUUAAGCUCGUUCAAGAAUUUGGAUACUGGCCUAACUAAUAUCAUCACUAAACAUGAUUUUAGCAGUGAUAUGUUGCAAGUGGAAGCAGCAGUACAUGUAGUAAACAAAAAAAUGACAUAUCAUUAGAAAAUGAUAUAAAAGAAGCGAGUGAGAUAUAUCUCAAUGAACCGAUGGAAGUAGAUUUUCUCGACUCUUUAUUAGAUGACCAAAAAAGGUUAUUUUAACAGAUGAAUACAGUGAAGGACAUGAACAGUAUAUUCAUCAUACAAAAGAA